UACGAAGGGGGCUAGCGUUGCUCGGAAUCACUGGGCGUAAAGGGUGCGUAGGCGGGUCUUUUAAGUCAGGGGUGAAAUCCUGGAGCUCAACUCCAGAACUGCCUUUGAUACUGAAGAUCUUGAGUUCGGGAGAGGUGAGUGGGAACUGCGAGUGUAGAGGUGAAAUUCGUAGAUAUUCGCAAAGAACACCAGUGGCGAAGGCGGCUCACUGGCCCGAUACUGACGCUGAGGCACGAAAGCGUGGGGAGCAAACAGGG
rnacentral:rRNA from 1 species